rnacentral:rRNA from 1 species
AUUGAACGCUGGCGGCAGGCUUAACACAUGCAAGUCGAGCGGAGAUGAGGUGCCUGCACCUUAUCUUAGCGGCGGACGGGUGAGUAAUGCUUAGGAAUCUGCCUAUUAGUGGGGGACAACAUUCCGAAAGGAAUGCUAAUACCGCAUACGCCCUACGGGGGAAAGCAGGGGAUCUUCGGACCUUGCGCUAAUAGAUGAGCCUAAGUCGGGUUGGCUAGUUGGUGGGGUAAAGGCCUACCAAGGCGACGAUCUGUAGCGGGUCUGAGAGGAUGAUCGGGCACACUUCGACUGAGACACGGCACAGACACCUCCGUGAGGCAGCAGGGGAGAAUAUUGGAGAAUGGGCGGAAGCCUGAUGCAGCCAUGCCGAUUGUGUGAAGGAGGCCUUUGGGUUGUAAAGCACUUUAAGCGAAGAGGAGGCUAACUAGAUUAAUACUCUAGGAUAGUGGACGUUGCUCGCAGAAUAAGCACCGGCUAUGUGUGUGCCAGCCGCCGCAGUAAAAC